rnacentral:rRNA from 1 species
GACGAACGCUGGCGGCGUGCUUAACACAUGCAAGUCGUACGAUGACCCGGCUCUUCGGAGCUGGUGAUUAGUGGCGAACGGGUGAGUAACACGUGGGUGACCUGCCCUGCACUCUGGGAUAAGCCCGGGAAACUGGGUCUAAUACUGGAUACGACCAGUGGCCGCAUGGUCUGCUGGUGGAAAGCCCUUCGGGGUGGUGUGGGAUGGGCCCGCGGCCUAUCAGCUUGUUGGUGGGGUGAUGGCCUACCAAGGCGACGACGGGUAGCCGGCCUGAGAGGGUGUCCGGCCACACUGGGACUGAGACACGGCCCAGACUCCUACGGGAGGCAGCAGUGGGGAAUCGUGCACAAUGGGCGAAAGCCUGAUGCAGCGACGCCGCGUGAGGGAUGACGGCCUUCGGGUGGUAAACCUCUUUCGGCAGGGAACAAGCCUGGGGGGUUUCUUCUGGGUGAGGGUACCUGCGGAAGAAGCACCGGCUAACUACGUG